rnacentral:lncRNA from 1 species
CAGAUGCGUUCAUAUGAAAAUCUUUAUGAUUUUGAAGGAGCUGGAAAAUUGCAACAGUAGGAUCUCCCCACCGGGUGGCCACAGUGUGGUGAAGGUCCUCUUCCUGCCAGGGCACGCAUUGAAGUCACAGGCAGCUUUGUUAACGCCCAUCCCUCAAAGCUGACUCAGCAGGUCUGGGUCGGGGCCUGAGAGCCUGCAUUUCACACAAGUGCCAAGUGAGGCUAAUGCUGCUGUUCUGGGACCCAUGCUUUCAAAUCUACCAUCCUUAGGAGGCCGCUGUGGCCUGGCUUCUACUGCUUGCCUACUUCAAGCCAGGCCUGUAUUUCAGGUACGUUGGGACUGAUUCAAAUUCUAUGGUGCAAAGGCAGGCAGUCUC